UACGUAUGGUGCAAGCGUUAUCCGGAUUUACUGGGUGUAAAGGGAGCGCAGGCGGCACGGCAAGCCUGAUGUGAAAGCCCGCGGCCCAACCGCGGGACUGCAUUGGGAACUACCGGGCUGGAGUGCCGGAGAGGUAGGCGGAAUUCCUAGUGUAGCGGUGAAAUGCGUAGAUAUUAGGAGGAACACCAGUGGCGAAGGCGGCCUGCUGGACGGUGACUGACGCUGAGGCUCGAAAGCGUGGGGAGCAAACAGG
rnacentral:rRNA from 1 species